rnacentral:rRNA from 1 species
UACGAAGGGGCUAGCGUUGCUCGGAAUCACUGGGCGUAAAGGGUGCGUAGGCGGGUCUUUAAGUCAGGGUGAAUCCUGGAGCUCAACUCCAGAACUGCCUUUGAUACUGAGAUCUUGAGUUCGGAGAGGUGAGUGGAACUGCGAGUGUAGAGGUGAAAUUCGUAGAUAUUCGCAAGAACACCAGUGGCGAAGGCGGCUCACUGGCCCGAUACUGACGCUGAGGCACGAAAGCGUGGGAGCAACAG